AAUGCCGGAGACUGGUGAGAGGCAUCUGGCACAGGAGUUGAGGGGUGUCGGUUUAUCUGCCUAUGACAUGCCAGAAUGGAAAAAGGAUGCUUAUGGUAAAGCCUUGACCUUUGGGCAGAGGUCUAAACUAUCUCUCCAGGAGCAGAGGAAGAGCCUUCCAAUUUACAAGUUGAAGAAUGAACUGGUACAGGCUGUCCAUGAUAAUCAGGUCCUUGUCGUCAUUGGCGAGACAGGUUCUGGCAAGACAACACAGGUGACACAGUAUUUAGCUGAGGCAGGGUAUACAACGAAGGGCAAAAUUGGAUGUACUCAACCUCGUCGAGUGCUAUGUCAGUGGCUAAGAGAGUUGCUGAGGAAUUUGGUUGUCGUUUAGGGGAAGAAGUUGGUUAUGCUAUCCGUUUCGAGGAUUGUACUGGACCAGAAACUGUUAUAAAGUAUAUGACUGAUGGUAUGCUUCUGAGGGAGAUCUUGAUUGAUGAAAAUUUGUCCCAGUAUUCAGUCGUAAUGCUUGAUGAAGCGCACGAGAGAACCAUUCACACUGAUGUUCUCUUCGGACUGCUUAAGCAACUUGUGAAGAGGAGACCUGACCUCCGUCUGAUAGUCACAUCUGCAACCUUGGAUGCAGAGAAAUUUUCUGGAUAUUUCUUCAACUGCAACAUCUUUACAAUCCCAGGAAGAACUUUUCCAGUAGAGGUGCUUUACACUAAACAACCAGAAAGCGAUUACCUUGAUGCAGCUUUAAUCACUGUACUACAGAUCCACUUGACAGAACCUGAAGGUGACGUCCUCCUUUUCCUGACUGGUCAAGAGGAGAUUGAUUAUGCUUGCCAAUGUCUGUACGAGAGGAUGAAAGGGCUGGGCCUUUUCACAAGCAUCAGCAAAGCAACGAGCUGGACGUGCUGGAAGAACAGGACCUGGUAA